rnacentral:rRNA from 1 species
AUUGAACGCUGGCGGCAUGCUUUACGCAUGCAAGUCGAACGGUAACAGGGAGCUUGCUCCGCUGACGAGUGGCGAACGGGUGAGUAAUGCGUCGGAACGUGCCGAGUAGUGGGGGAUAACGCAUCGAAAGGUGUGCUAAUACCGCAUACGAACUGAGGUUGAAAGUGGGGGACCUUCGGGCCUUACGCUAUUCGAGCGGCCGACGUCUGAUUAGCUAGUUGGUGAGGUAAAGGCUCACCAAGGCGACGAUCAGUAGCGGGUCUGAGAGGAUGAUCCGCCACACUGGGACUGAGACACGGCCCAGACUCCUACGGGAGGCAGCAGUGGGGAAUUUUGGACAAUGGGCGCAAGCCUGAUCCAGCCAUGCCGCGUGUCUGAAGAAGGCCUUCGGGUUGUAAAGGACUUUUGUCCGGGAGCAAAUGCUGGUGGCUAACAUCCACCGGAGCUGAGAGUACCGGAAGAAUAAGCACCGGCUAACUACGUGCCAGCCGCCGCCGUAAUAC